CAACACACACGCAAUGGCCGUGAGACUCACACAUUUGAGCAUAUUCUCACGCUCACACGCAUUGGUAAAAAAGUGUCACGCAAUUUUUGGGGUCAGUUUCUAACACUCUUCUUGGAAGACACUGUAACUGAAUGGCUGCACGUGUAAUGUUUUAAUUUAUUACUGCUGAAAAGUCAGAGUGUCGCACUUCAUCUGCCGGAAUGAACCACCUUGCUAACCAGUCAGGGGUUCGCGGGAAGAAUUGUAACAGUCCAUCACAAGUCCUCCGCGAGCUUAAGCAGCGGCGAGCGGGAAAUGCGACAGAGACAGCAGUGAGAGGUGCAGAUACAAACCCCGGUACAGCUUGAGAGAUGAGUAAAUCAAACAAGCCAAACCAUGCAAAGGGCUCUAGAAGACAGCAACAACCCAAAGUGUGUCCACCAGGAUCAAAGCGAAAAGUACCAGAGAGCCAAAAACUGACAGCCUUCUUUGGCCUAGGAAGGCUUGACACACCACUGUCACCAGAACCUGGUCAUGCUGAUGUACCUGCUGAAAAGGCAGCCAGGAUAGAGUGUGUAGGGGAAGAUUCAGCUGAUGGGACAGAACCAGAUGACUCUACAAAAAAGUCUGUGCCAGCCAAGAAGUCAAAUUCUUCUGGAAAAUCAAGAACCAAAUGUGGGGCAGCCACUUAUAAAUCCAAAUUCCAGCCCGGGUGGACAACAGAAUGGCCCUUUAUUAAGAAGGGACUCACGCAGCAUCAUUUUUGGUGUGAGAUUUGCAGAACUGAGAAUGCUUGUUACCAUAUGGGCCAUGCAGAUGUGGAGCGUCACAUAGAGAGCGAGUCACAGAGGAAGGUCAAGGCAGUGGAGCAAUCGCAGCAAAUUACCAAAUUUACAGUGAACACAGCUCCAAAGGUGGAUAACAUGACACAACUUGAGGCGAAGGCACGACGAGCUGAGAUCAAAGUUGCUGUGACGAUGGUAAAUCACAAUGUCCCCCUUGCAGUUGCUGACCACUUCAGCCCACUGAUGAAAGAGUGUUUUAAGGAUUCAGAUGUGGCACAGAGAUAUGGUGCUGCAAGGACCAAGACUACUUGUAUUAUCAACAGGGCGAUAGCACCAUACCUUCAUGAUGAGCUGGUCAAAAAGAUGAGAAACAGGCCAUACACCUUGUCAACUGAUGGAUCAAAUGAUACAGGAAGGGAAAAGAUGAACCCAUUGACUGUGAAACUGUUUGAUGUAGACAGGGUGGAACACAUGUUCCUAGAUAUGUGCAUCACAACUGGCACUAAUGCUGCCACAGCAGAGACCAUUUUUGAAAAAAUGGACAGUGUCCUCAAGAAGGAUAACAUCCCAUGGCAAAACUGUGUAGGUCUGUCAGUGGACAAUGCCAAUGUGAACAUGGGUGUCUGUAACUCUAUCAAAUCAAGGAUAUUAAGCAUAAAUCCGACUGUUUAUGUCCAUGGUUGUCCUUGCCACAUAGUUCACAACAAUGCCAGUGCUGCUGGGACUCAUUAUAUUGAGUUGUCAGACUUUGAUGUGGAGGAUGUGGUUGUAGAUAUUGGAUACUGGUUCAAAGCAAGCACAAGAGAAAAUGUAGACUGGAUGAAUUCUGUGUGUUUUGUGAUACUGAGUACAUGGCUGUCAUAGACCAUGUUUCCACACGGUGGCUGAGUCUGGAGACGGCAGUAGUCCGCAUUCUACAGCUGUAUCGAGCACUUGUCAGCUACUUCAAGUCUAACAUUGAGAAACAAGCCCGCUUUAAGAGGCUUAGGAAGCAUUUUGAGGAUCCAAUGACAGAGGUACACCUCUUAUUCUACCAGGCCACACUGCCUGUCUUAACAGAGUUUAAUUUACUCUUUCAGCGCCAAGAGCCA